ACUGAAUUUUCGUAUUAUUUAUUUGUAUUAUUACACAAAUAUAGUUUGGCUUGAAUUCUUUCUCCCUCUGCAGCUAUUCACAUGACUCGACGAACAUUCACCCCCUCCAAAAACGCCAACUAUGUGUGUCAUGUUAUGUUGCAGGCCACGUUGCCCCAUGAAUUUCGGCGAGGACAGGGCAUUUGGGGGCGGUGUGCGCUGCUGUCCUGUUGACAUUGAUGUUGUCAUGUUGUGUUGGGCGUGGCCUUUCGGCCAGCUCGGCAAAUACCUGUUUAUGUUAUGCCUGGCACAUCCCUACCCCAUUCCCCCGUUGUUGCCCAGUAUCCACUGUCCAUUGCCCACUGUCCACUGCCCAGUUUCCACUGUCCAAUGUCCGUCGUCCGGUCCUCAGUGCCCAGAGAGCUGUUUCCAGCGUCAAGCCGGAGCAGAUUAGUUUGCUUAAAUUGAUGGCAACUUAGCGCUAAUAACAAUGCGCCGCCAUGUGUUUGCGGCUCUUUACUGAGAAGUAGAUGUAUCCAAUGGACAAGAACAUGUUAUUGAAAAUAUAUACCACAAAUCAGUAAACAUGAAUUAUACGCUUAAUAAGGAAAUCAUUUAAACAUAUAAAUACGUAAUUAUUCAUGUUAUUUUCAGAAAAAGUAAAUUUAAAAGGAAAUAAAUAUGAAUUUUUCGGAAUCCUUGCAUCAGGGUUUCUUUGUGUGACCAGAUUCACACUUUGUGGCUCGGAUUUAACCAAAUUUUUUUCGUGCCACCAAUGCAAUUUAAUGAAGGACUUGUUUUGUGACACAUCUCUCCAUUUAUUUUCCACAGUGCAUUGUGGCUGUAUGCCUUAAGGCAAUGCUAAGUGGGUCAACCAGUGGGCGGCGGCUGGUGGAUUUCGGUGCAUUAAUGAUGAAGUGGGGCCGCUGAGUGGUCAUCGGUGUGCGGCUUAAUUAAAUGAUCUGGCAGGUGCAUUAAUCAAUUUUUUCAAUCCUCUGCCGUACGGAUGUGGCAUAAAGUUUGCUUAUUUCCCUAGCGAAAUCGCCAGCUUCACCUGCCCAAGACACAUACAUUAUUUACCAUUCUUAUGGCGCCUUUUUUGGCAUAACUUUUGCUUACUUUAAAUAAAUCAACGCUGGCCAGGCCAGACACGGCAACUCCCACUUUAGGAGUAAGUUUUUAAGGGACGCGUGUGUGCUCGUUUUGAAAUAUGAGCAACCUACUGGGGGAUGACCGCGCUGUAAAGUAUGCAACAGUUGAUGGGGAGUUUCGAGCGCAGGACACGAAGCUAUUGGCUUCGAGUAAUAUAUGACUGUGGGACGGAGAGGACUUACUCUACGGAUGAAGCUGGUUGAAAAAUGGAUGCCACCAAAAUCAGGUCAAGCAAUGAGAUUCAGAUCCUUACGUAUAGAUAUUUUCAGUGCCCAACUACCACGAGUCUAAGCCACAAAAAAGGAAGCGGAAAAUCUGGUGACAGCUGAUUUACUCAGACCCAACUCGUUUUAAUUCAUUUUUAGAAAAUUCACGGCGAAAUUAUGCAAGGCUGUGUGAAAAUAUUCAUUAAGUGCUCGCUGCUCAUCAGAAAUUUAGAGGCGACCGGUUGAAAUCAAAACCCCUUGUAAAAUUCUGGGCAAAAAUAAAUGAAGCAGAGAGUCUGGCCGAAACUAUAGGUAUUUUAAGAAUGUAAUUUCGCCGGCGACGGUGAAAACUUUCCCUUCUGACCCGAAAACGUUGGACAGCAGGAGCAGCUUAGAAACCGUUGGAGGUUCGUGUUUAUUAUAGGUUUGCCUCCUGCACCUCGUUCAGCUUUUCACAUACACUUUGAAAAAUACUUAAUACUUUAUUAUACCAAUAUUUGUAUAUAAUAAAUUGAUAGUACGGACUUAGAAGGUAGGAUAAGAAAGGGGUUCUAAUGUAGAUAUGGUAUACAUUUUCUUUAUGUGUAGCUAGCUUUCUCUCUCGCCUUUUAUUUUAUCUCUUUUCAUCUCUUUAGUUUCGGCUUUCUGGGGUGAGGAACAACUUUUCAUUUUUGUCUCGGGCGCACAGUUUGACAUCCGGUGUCAAAUGAUGUGUCAAAAUGUGCACAAUUUACCGUAUGCCGGACCUGCUAAAAGCUACCUGAUGAGCAGGUGGGCAGUGGGUGGUUGCUGUGGGCUGCUGUUUGGUGGAUUUUAUCUGGGCCGCCCUGAGCCAGCACUGUGGGGUUAAGUGUGUGCGGGAUUAAUAGCCGGCACACGCUGUGGAGUGCCUCUGGAUUUGACUCCUCUACCUGUCACCUGGUCUCCUGCCUGAUCCCGCAUCCACUUCCACAGACACUUGGGCCUCUGUCAACGUGUUUCUUUGGGGGUCAUAAAUGUUUUGGCAACUUUAAUGGGGCAUCCGUUUAUCCAGCACGUGUAAUUGCCGUACAAUUUUUCUUAUGUGUGCGAUAUCUCUCGGCACUCAACCGGAUCUUUUUACCCUAAACCCCUCCUUCCAAUAGCUCCUCGCUUCUAUUAUAAAUUAUGCUUAGCUAUUUGGGAAAAUUAAAACGCACACGGUACAUUUUUAAAUGCAUACACGUGCAUGCUGCCGGCACUCAGCACCCUGUUUUCGACGCGUUUUGAGUUUCUCGCACCUUUGUGUUUUGCACCAACGUCAAUUUUUCACAUAAAGUUUGUCAAACGCUUGACUUGCAUAUAAAUGAGUUGGCCGGAACCGGAAAAUGGAAAGCGGAGCCACCGGGAAAGCCCCUCGAAGGUGGCGACCCAGGUGAGGGCUCCCAAAAGCAUUCGAGUUGUCAACUCUUUCAACGUGCAUUACAUUUUGAGCUUGAGAACCGAACUGGCGAUGGUAGUUGGCUGGGAAACAUGCGAGCGAAAAAAAUAAUUUCCUUUGCGUAAUAUAUGCUGUAUGAGCUCCGCUUUCCUUUCAAUUUCUUUUCGCUUCCGUGUUUUGUUUUUCCACGGCAUAAAAAACGCGCUCAUGGUGGGAGGUGUGAAAAAUGUAUGCCGGCAAAUAUGGCAGUUCGGUUUGGUGGAAAUUUCUGUGCGGUUUUUGGAGGAAAUGAAAAAUUCAACGGGAAACAAAUUAAAAAUGAAAACAAAAAUCGAGGUUUUUAGUCUUUGGAAAUAGUUACUAUCAAGGCAAUAAUUAUUUUUUGUUUUUUUCCAUUGGCAAUAAUAGUUGAAAUGGGAUUUAUGUUUCUGUACUCCUCUUUCAUUAAGUAAAGAUUACAAUUAUUAUUAUUGUAUCAUAAUCACAGAUACUAAAGAUUUUCAUUUUGCAUACGUUUUUAAGUCAAUCGAAAGACCGAAAAUGUUCCCUACAGUAGGACACCGUUUUGGAACGUUAAAAGCUACGCCCAAAGUGAAUAAUACUCCCACGACGUGCUGUCAUUUCCAACUAAAAUAAAAAUAAAAACAGGAAUACGUAUAAGUACCCUGGCACUGGGGCAUUAUUCAUAAAUAGUACGCAUAUUACAGACAGUCACUAGAUGGCUGAAGGAAAUGAGAUGGAGAUGGAGAUGGAUAUGGAGGUACUGGAUCCGCUUCCUGCAUUUGUAAGCGAUCAAAUUUGACGUGCACUUAUGAAACAAAUUGGCGUUCUUCGCUGCGAAGCACAGGCAACACUCGCUACGUGCAGAAUACGCCAUGUGGAUGCUAAGUCUGCAAGGCAGAAACGUAUUUACCAGCAAGUGCAUUGAAUCAAGAACUGAAAGACCUAGAUGGCUUAGGGGAUGCAUUAACGCCCUGAUCAAAGCCUGAAUCCAUCCCAUUUGUCAUCAAUCAAAGUUAAAUCUCACCGUUUAUGAUUUGUGUCAUUGCCAAAAAACGACAGACGAGAGGAAAUAUAAAACUCCAGCAGAUAAAUAAAUAAGCCUCCGAAAAAUAUCGGGUAAAUGUGCGUAAAAAUUGUGGUUGCGGCUCCUCCAUUUGUGAUUUUUAUUUCGAUGUGUGUGUGACGGCUGUGCAAAUUAUCAAUAAAUAAAUAAAAUUACCCACGCUUUGGCCUAAUGUUUGGAUUUCAAGUUGAUGUCUGGCGUUUGAUUGGUUUUGCUUUCACUCUCAGCCUCCUUUUUAUGGCAUUCAGUGCGAUGAACACAUGAUGAUAAGUGCUGGGUUUGAGUAUUUUGUCCCAUAUUUUAUGCCCGAAUUUUGGAUUUGGAUUGAAAUGUAAUUGGGUAAUUAUCACAGAGAUUGAGGCGUCUUAUUUCAAGUGGAAAAUGUUCUGAGGAGCCUUUUCUGUUGCCUAAAAAAUCAAUACAGGCUGCGUUUUUGUUUUGUAAUCGUUUGAAUAGCACCACAUAUUUUUAUGGAAUUUAAAAAGAACAUACUCUAUUAAAUAUUCACAUACUAAAUACUAUUCAAAUCGACUUGUUUUGUUUGCUAUAAAUUUGGAAUCUCUGUUGGCUUUAAACAUAAAUCUCAUUCGUUUUUAAUUGAGAGAUAUAAAGUGCUAUUUAAAUAGAUCUGUUGCUUAUAUAAUUGACCAGCAGCGCAUAUCACUUUCCUCAAAUAAUAUUCAAACUUUAAUUUAAUUUCCAAAAUUUGUUGCUCGGCUUGGAUAUUACGAUUAUAAUUUUGUGAAAUUAAAUAGCCUAUACUUUAUAAAAUCCUGCGUUUUGAGCUUCUAAACGUAAUGUCGAUUGAAGACUGUUCAUGUUAUUCUUGAUUAGGCAUCUUGGAUUCUCUAGAGUAGGCAUAUUAAUUGCUCAUAAAGAGCUUGGCAAUGGUCCAAUGGAUGAGGACAAACUCCUGAGCGUCCCAAAGUUAUUUAUUAUUCAAUGUCACUUGCCACUAAGCAAUUACGCGUCCUUGUGACCCCAUAAACACCAAAAGGCUUAGACAACACAAGCCCACAUAUUUCGGCUUUUCAGGCAGCCAGACUACACCUGUCAGCAAGUUUGCUUUUUUAUGCCCCAUGUCUGGAGUUUGUGUGCGUAGGGGAGUGUGUCUCUGUCAGCCGGCUGAGAUUUCAUGACUUCAACGCAGGCUUUUCAAUUUUCUUCAAGCGUGUGGAGCGAGCGAGUGGGGCAAAAAAAAAAUGUUAUCAAAAUUUAUUGAGCGCUGUCAUGAAGCUGUCAAAGUCGAUAUCAAAAACAUUUGAUUUUUGACUUUAUUUUGGCAGCCCGAAAAGCAACAAGCAGUCCCAGUCCCAGUCCCACGACCCGAGGCCAAAGCCCAGCCCAAUUUCAGAGUCCCCAACUCAGCCCCAGUCGAAGUCCCAAUCCAGCCCCAAAAUCACCCACCGACGCACAUUAUAGCCGCGACCGUGUGUGAUUCCCCUUUGUUGGCGUCUCGGCGAAAAGAAAGAAAUAAUCAUAAUAAAAAAGCCCAUAAAAGAAGCCGUGAGCCAUGCAGCCAUCUCAAAAAUUUUCAUGCUCCCCCAGGGCGCUGGCACAUUGAUAAAUUAAUGAUUGCCAAGCUGGAAAAGUCGGUUGAAGCGAAGGAAAGGCGAGUAUAUAGCAAAUGAGGUGCAGACGAUGGGGUUGAAAAAGGUGAGCCUGCGAAUGGUUGGGUUUUAUGGGAAAUCAAUCCUAAUGUAUGCAUAAGUUGUUCGAAGUUCCUCUUUUAAUAACAUUGAUGUAUGAUGCGGAAGUUUAAGAGGGUUCCACUUGGAAUGGGGGUUUCUGUUCUUGGAUGUUGAUAAAUAGGAAAAUAUAUUUAUAAAUAUAUACCUCAUUUCUUGUAAGCUACUUUCGAAUCUCUUGAGCGUUACAAUAUUAAUAAGUUUUUAAAAAUAUAUCUGGUAAUAAAAUCAAAGGGUAAAAUGCAAUCAAAUACUUUCGCUAUUUUGAUAUGUUUCCUUAUUUUUCAAUAAGAAAAUAUAGGUUAAUUUUUAUAUAUGUGAUUUUCCUGCUGGUGUUUCCUUGAUAAUUUCUUGGUUUUCUUGAGAAUUUCCCGGACUCUUGGACUAAUGAAUAUUAAUCGUCGCCUGACUGACUCACUGAAUGAACGCCCACGUCUGGCCAAUCGCACCUGUGUCUAUAUAUCAAGAGUGAAAGCCACUUGUCUUAUCAGCAGGGUCGACUGCGAGUUCCGAUGAGUUGAGUGGGACUAUUAACAAAACAAAUAUAGUUUCUGCAUGAGAGGUCCACUGGCAUUUGUCGGCUUGCGGGAAAUUUCUAUGGUUUUUUGCGGCUUAGCCACUUGAAACGCUGAACAUGGCGGAUUAAUGUCAUUUAUCACGCGCUCGCGUUGCGGUAAAAGGGGAUUUCGGAUGGGACUUUGGGCCAUGGUUAGCAUUGGCAUUAGCAGGCAUUUGAAAUGUACAAAAUAAAUAAGGGACUGCUCGCAGAAUCGCAAGCCUACACACUCCGAUACAGUUUAAGCCGUCAAUGUUGCUGGCUUUGUUCGCUCGGUUUUGCUUUGUUGCCGCAGAAAAGGAUAAUGACAAAUAAUCAAGGAUAAACGUUUUUGAUUGAUCUUUAAUGGCAGCCACCCAGCACACAUCCCCAGUUCGCUUUGACAUCCGCCGCCGAAUGUAAAUCAUAUUAACUUAAAUGUACCAUAAAACAAACCAACGAGCCCAUGUGGAUUGGGUUGGUUUGCUUCAAAAAAAAAAAAAAA
rnacentral:sRNA from 1 species